rnacentral:rRNA from 1 species
GGAAGUAAAAGUCGUAACAAGGUCUCCGUUGGUGAACCAGCGGAGGGAUCAUUACCGAGUUUUCAACUCCCUAACCCUUCUGUGAACUACCUAUCGUUGCUUCGCGGACUCGCCCCAGCCCGGACGCGGACUGGACCAGCGGCCCGCCGGGGACCUCAAACUCUUGUAUUCCAGCAUCUUCUGAAUACGCCGCAAGGCAAAACAAAUGAAUCAAAACUUUCAACAACGGAUCUCUUGGCUCUGGCAUCGAUGAAGAACGCAGCGAAACGCGAUAAGUAAUGUGAAUUGCAGAAUCCAGUGAAUCAUCGAAUCUUUGAACGCACAUUGCGCCCGCCAGCAUUCUGGCGGGCAUGCCUGUUCGAGCGUCAUUUCAACCCUCGACCUCCCCUUGGGGAGGUCGGCGUUGGGGACCGGCAGCACACCGCCGGCCCUGAAAUGGAGUGGCGGCCCGUCCGCGGCGACCUCUGCGCAGUAAUACAGCUCGCACCGGAACCCCGACGCGGCCACGCCGUAAAACACCAACUUCUGAACGUUGACCUCGAAUCAGGUAGGACUACCCGCUGAACUUAAGCAUAUCAAUAAGCGGAGGA